CUGCUCCACCAGCAGCUGGAGCUGCUCCUCCGUCAGAGACAUGUGGAAACGCUCCUUCAGGCCCCGGAUGGUGCUGGAGCCGUGGAAACAGGGCAAGUGGGAACCUGGUGGGAAAACAACAAAGAACGGCUUUACGGCAACACAUUGCUUCCUUGUGUGACAUCAUGGAAAAAAAAAAAAUCAGCCAAGAUAUCAGGCAGAGGAUUGUGGACAUUCACAAGCCUGCUUAAUCUUUGGGUACGAUUUCCAGAUCCAGAAGGUGAAACGUUCAAGUAUAAAAGCCAUGCGAAUGUCUGGAGAUCAUACUGUUCAGAAAGGAGACAGGUUCUGUGUUCCCAGAGAUGAACAUGUAUGGGUGCAAAAUGUGAAUAUCAACCCCACAACAAAAGUAAAAGCCUGUUGCAAAGAUGUGAAGUUGAGAUCACAGAAGACCCGUUUCAGCUGCAGGAAUGCUCCAGCUUCCCAGAACUGAAGGUUCAUCUCACCUGUCCUUGACCUGCAGCAGGUAACAAAUGAGGCUGUAUCCAGCGCAGCUCUGAACAAAGUUCCUCUGAGCUGUGAGGAACGCUUCAGUGGUGAA